GACGAACGCUGGCGGCGUGCCUAAUACAUGCAAGUAGGACGCAGUUGCGAACGGGUGAGUAACGCAUAGGUGACUGCCUCCUAGAGGGGGAUAACUAUUGGAAACGAUAGCUAAUACCGCAUACUAGUAGAUGGACCUGCGUUGUAUUAACUAGUAGGUAGGGUAAUGGCCUACCUAGGCGACGAUACAGAGCCGGCCGUGAGGGGGGAUCGGCCAAACUGGGAACGGGGCACGGGCCCGACUCCUACGGGAGGGAGCAGUAGGGAAUCUUCGGGAAUGGGGGGAACGCUGAACGGGGAAAGACGGGGGAGUGAAGAAGGGUUUCGGGUCGUAAAGAUCUGGUGGUAAGGAAGCGGUACUUAACCAGAAAGGGACGGCUAACUACGUGCCAGCCGCCGCGGUAAUAC
rnacentral:rRNA from 1 species